AGUGAACGCUGGCGGCAGGCCUAACACAUGCAAGUCGAACGGCAGCACAAGAGAGCUUGCUCUCUGGGUGGCGAGUGGCGGACGGGUGAGGAAUGCAUCGGAAUCUGCCCAUUUGUGGGGGAUAACCUCGGGAAACCGGGACUAAUACCGCAUACGACCUACGGGUGAAAGCAGGGGAUCUUCGGACCUUGCGCAGAUGGAUGAGCCGAUGCCGGAUUAGCUAGUUGGAGGGGUUAAGGCCCACCAAGGCGAAGAUCCGUAGCUGGUCUGAGAGGAUGAUCAGCCACACGGGGACUGGGACACGGCCCAGACUCCUACGGGAGGCAGCAGUGGGGAACAUUGGACAAUGGGCGCAAGCCUGAUCCAGCCAUGCCGCGUGUGUGAAGAAGGCCUUCGGGUUGUAAAGCACUUUUGUUGGGAAAGAAAAGCAGCCGGUUAAUACCCGGUUGUCAUGACGGUACCCAAAGAAUAAGCACCGGCUAACUUCGUG
rnacentral:rRNA from 1 species